AUACGGAGGGGACAAGCGUUAUUCGGAAUCACUGGGCGUAAAGGACGCGUAGGCGGGUUUGUAAGUCAGGUGUGAAAUCCUACAGCUCAACUGUAGAACUGCACUUGAAACUACAGACCUAGAGUAUGGAAGGGGCAGAUGGAAUUAGUGGUGUAGGGGUAAAAUCCGUAGAUAUCACUAGGAAUACCGAAAGCGAAGGCGAUCUGCUGGGACAUUACUGACGCUGAGGCGUGAAAGCGUGGGGAGCAAACAGGAUUAGAUACCCCGGUAGUCC
rnacentral:rRNA from 1 species